CCCUGGUGGCUUGGAUGGAAAAGAAUCUGCCUGUCAUGCAGAAGACCCAGGUUCAAUCCCUGGAUCAAGAU
rnacentral:tRNA from 1 species